rnacentral:rRNA from 1 species
UGGGGAAUAUUGCACAAUGGACGGAAGUCUGAUGCAGCAACGCCGCGUGCGGGAUGACGGCCUUCGGGUUGUAAACCGCUUUUUCUCAUGACGAAGUUUUUUGACGGUAGUGGGGGAAGAAGCACCGGCUAACUACGUGCCAGCAGCCGCGGUGAUACAUAGGGUGCGAGCGUUGUCCGGAAUUAUUGGGCGUAAAGAGCUUGUAGGCGGUUUGUCGCGUCGAUAGUGCAAACUCAGUGCUUAACGCUGAGCCUGCUGUUGAUACGGGCAGACUAGAGGAAGGUAGGGGAGAAUGGAAUUCCCGGUGGAGCGGUGGAAUGCGCAGAUAUCGGGAGGAACACCGGUGGCGAAGGCGGUUCUCUGGGCCUUUCCUGACGCUGAGAAGCGAAAGCGUGGGGAGCGAACAGG